AGGAACUUAUAUUUUGCGUUAAAUAAGGAAAUAUAAGUUCCUUUAGAGCUAUUUGAUCUUAACUCUGAAAUUGGAAUAUCAGAUUAAUAAGAUACAGUAAGGUUUGAGCAUUUAGAAGAAAAAAAUCCUACUCUUCAUUGCAUUUGUUUUUACACCAAAUUGACUAUAGAAUCAAAUUUACCAAACCCAUAGUAGCUUUUUGUAUCCUGUUUAUUGCUUUAAACAGAAAAUGGCGCAAGUCGCAGGUCAGGCCUACUAAUGUUGAAAUGUUGCCAUCUAGUAAAUUGUGGUUAGACUGCUUAGCAUAGUUGCAUUAUUCUGCCUUUAUUAGAAUGCGAGAGGCAAGGAUUUCUGACCUGUCAUGGUUACAUCAUUCUUGUGCUACUGUAUAUGAGAGUGCAUAUUUCUUGCUUGAAGGAGCACAUUAAAGAUUUUUUUUGAAUUUUUUUUUUUUUAGUAUAACACCACAUGUGGAAAUGAGAACCCAAAAGAACCCACUAAGGACUUUGGUAGCACCUUUUUAACAUUUCCUGAGGGGUCAUUUUAACUGAAAAUAGUAAAUAAAACGGACAAUAACUGUUUAAUUGUCCAGUGUUAAUUUUCCUUGAGGGUUUUACUGUAAUGAGAAAUGUCUUUGUUUUGUUUCUCACUGGCUAAAAUCAGUGUCUGUUAUGACUGUUUAAAGCCCUCAUAGAAGGUGGACAUGGUAAAAACUGGCUGUGAUCAUUUGAUUGAUUCCUCUCCUUCAAUUCAAGACUAUCUUAAACAGUUCUAAUAAUUAUCAUUAGCAAAUACAGGCCACAGAAUGACAGGAAUGCAGAAUAACUUGAAAGCCAAGUGCUGCAAAACUGCAGUGCUUAGCUGCAGAGGAAUAGCCUGGAUGCUAGCAAAUGCUAUAAAACACAAUCAAGUUUUGACUUCUUGCGGAUGCACUUGAAGUGGCAUCCAUGUAAACUAUCAGCAGGUUUUGUACCAUAGACUGGUAGUAUGCAAGACUUCAGACUCCACCAUAGGCACUGAUUUGGAAAUAUCACUAGUUUAUAGAAUACUUAGUUUCAAAUUCUGGCUGAUUAGACAGUAAAAGGCAUUUAUAACCUCAUGUCUAAAGUAUCACCGGAGAAAGCAAGGGGGACUAAUGCAGUGGGUUAACUGCAUUGUCUGUCUUCUCCCCAGAAUAAAAAUGAUACCAAGGACUGUAGCAAAGCCGUACACAGUUAUUUGGCAUGUUUCUAAAUUGCUUGGAAUAUUACAAGAUUAAGGACUUGUUUGCACAGGGCGUAGCUACCUGAUAUUAGCCUGAGUUGCUGUGUACUGUGUCCAUGUGAUGUGAUUUCUUACAGAGUAGUAACUAGAGACGUACAGCAUAGUCUGUCCUCCCAUUCCAAGCAGCAGUAUUUUCAUCUUGUAGCAAGCUGCUGGAUAUUCAGGUGCCUGGAUCUUUCCUGUGUGUGCGGUGUUGAUGGUUUUUUGGCUGUCUUCCCGUAUUACUUUGCACACCACCCUGACUAGUUUUUUCUCUCUUACUUCUGUAUCCUCUAAUUCACACAGGUUAUACUGAUUGGAAGUGACUUGUUUUUUCCUCCUUUAAAUGACUCGUGUGCAGCCAGGUUUGAUACUUUGUGCUUUUGUACAUUUGCACUUGCCUGCUUCUGGAGUUGCACACUAAUGUUUUAUUCUAGCCUUGCGCGUUUCCUUAGCAUGUGUUCAGAGGUUUUGGAUUUUCUCACCCUGUAGGAUGAGGUGAAGUUUCAGGAAGUCCUGGAGUUUUAAUCUUGCAACAUGGGUAUUUUUGAGGCUGUCAAAAGAUGCUUACAUGGGAUCAUAAUUGGAUGCCAUGCACAGUGUUUUGAAACUGAGGGUAUGCAAAGGCUUUUGAGGGGGCAGAGGACAAAAAGUCUCCAGCAGUGUUUGAGGCACGUCUCUGGAUGGCAAGGAGCUGAGGAUUUUGGGAUGGAACACAAGUGUUUACGAUGUUGCUAAUGAAGCAAAGUAGAGGACUCCAGGGCCAACAGCAGCUCUGGGUAAAGAGGUAUCUGGAAGUUGGGACUGGACGUGCUAGCAGACCCUCCAGAAAUGGACCUGCGCUCCACCUCCAUAACCAUCAGCCUUUCAGCUGUGGAAGAACCCAGUCUCCUAGCACCGCUGUGGAGGAGAGUGAGGCUGAACCUGAAAUACUUGCCAUUGCCUUUAUCAGCUGCCUCAUGUCAUGAUGUGUAAAGAAAAGAAGAAAUGUUGGACAUUGUAGAAGUGUGAGAUACAAGACUGUGUGUGUUAGGAAAUAGGGGAGUUGUUGAAGAAUGAGAGCAGGGAAGGCCUCUCCAAAGCCAGAUGUCUGAGAGAGAGGCCUUUUCCUGACCCGAGAGACUGAAAUGG